GAUGCUUAUCUCUUAGUACAUUUAUCUAUUAGUGUUAAUAAAUUUUUAUUUAUUUUAUGUAUAUAUAUUUUUUAAUAUUUUUGUGUUUCUUUAAAAUUAAUGUUUCAAUCGGUGGGUAUAAAAAAAGUUUAUAUUUAGGUGAAAUUAAACUCCCAACACCUGUGAGUCAGGAAAUUGGGUAUUUGUGAUCAUUUUCUCUAAAGAGGUUCAAAUAAUUCCCAGCUGAAAUACACUGCUCACCGCAAAUCAUCUUUUUUUAAAGACGUUCUGGGAAAAGCUCAGUCACUGGCUUGUUUACGGAUAUGUUAUGUCUGAUCAUCCUUAUCUCACAUACAUACGUAAUUAUAAAAUUAAAAAAUUUAAACAUUUAAAUUGUUCAUUAUGGAAGAAAAAGAUCGUGGGAGCGAUGCAGGGGUCCUCUAAAAAGGGCAGCUGCAUAACUCAAGCGAUAAGGCCGAACACCACUUUUUAGAGUUUUUCUACGAGAAAAAGUAAAGACUUUUUCUAAGAGUAAAAGUGGUAAUAAAAUAGAAAAUUUAUGUUUCCGCUGCUUGGGAGUCCUUCGAUCCAAAAGUGAAACUCUCUAGAUCACUUUUAGGAAGUAACGGAAAUACUUUAUUUAAAUAAAAUACAAAAUUUAAAUUAAAAGAAAUAAAAGACAGAGUAAAGAAAUAUGAAACAUCUAGCGAACAAA